UGUUUGCUGUGAAGAAUAACAAGGACGGUAUCUGAGUAAGCUGGCUCUUGAAAAAGGCCUCCUUCCUUGAUAUUCACCCUAAACUGAUCAUAUAAUCUGAGCAAACA
rnacentral:snoRNA from 2 species